rnacentral:misc_RNA from 1 species
AAGUCGUAACAAGGUUUCCGUAGGUGAACCUGCGGAAGGAUCAUUAUUGAAACUUGAAUCGUAGCAUUGAGAACUGUUGCUGACCUGUUAAAGGGUAUGUGCACGUUCGACGUGUUGCGUUCUAUUCAUCCACCUGUGCACCUUUGUAGACUUGAUUAACUUUCGCUCUCGAGCGGUUAGAAGGGUUGCUUUCGAGCUCCCUUUGUCUAUCAAGUCUAUGUCUAUAUAAUCUCUUGUAUGUCUAGAAUGUCUUGUUUAUGGGACGCAAGUCCUUUAAAUCUUAUACAACUUUCAACAACGGAUCUCUUGGCUCUC